AUGAACAUGAUCCACGCGACUUGUACAUCUAUGAGAAGGCACGAACGCGCGCAUAGAGACGCGCGUGAUAUAGAGCCCAUCGCACCUACACCUAACUACUGGAUGUCUUAUCCGAUCACCCUCGACCGCUCGGACGGCCGAAAUAGUAUUCGGCGCGAAGGAUCAGAGACCUUGGUGCUCGACCCAAUAAUCAACGGAUACCAUCUCACCCACGUCCUCAUGGACGGCGGCAGCAGUCUCAAUCUAAUAUAUGAGGACACUGUCCGCAAGAUGGGGAUAGACCCAUCAAGAAUUAGUCAAAGCAACACCACCUUCGAAGGGGUGAUACCAGGCCUUGAAGCCUACAGCAGGGGCUCCGCCAUACUGGAGGUAACAUUCGGCUCUCCAGGCAACUCUAGAAGCGAAGAACUACUCUUCAUCAUCGCACCCUUCCAAAGAACUAUCACGCAUUGCUUGGAAGAACGGCCUUCGCCCGCUUCAACGCAUUGCCGCACUAUGGCUACCUUACACUCAAGAUGCCCGGUCCACGUGGCGUCAUCACCAUUAGCGGAAUAA
rnacentral:rRNA from 1 species